rnacentral:misc_RNA from 1 species
GAAAGCUUCAUGCAUGGGCGGCAAUGGUGGAAAUGGGAGGAUCAAUUUUGGCAAGUGAGAGUGAGGUUGAAGAUAAAGUUGUUAGUGGCAAAGAAAAUCUAUCCUUAAGUGGUUAUUACGGUCCCAUUAAUCCUCCAUUAAGUUCCACUAAAUAUAGUUUAAUAAUUUAAUAAGUAAACUUAGUAAUAUUUCAAUUAAUCCCCCCCAAACUUCCUUUAAUUACAUGGUGUGUGAACUUUCUUAUUUUCA